rnacentral:lncRNA from 1 species
AAUAACAAUCUGCAGGAGAACUGUGUGAUGUUCAACUAAGUGAGAGAUGCAAAGAUGAAAGUAUGCCGGUCAAAAAGAGAUACCAAAAUAGUUUUCUGGAAGAGGCAGACAUUAAACUUCAUAUUCAGAUGUCUUGUUAGGGUUGAUUCCUUUUAAGCAAUCAGAAGAAGGCUGCCCCACAGCUGAAAGGACAUGAGGAGAUUUGAAACUAAUCUGGACUCUUCUUCAGUUCCUGAGGACACAGAUUGCAGAACAGAGCUCCCCUUACCAUCUGUUUGUCAGUACCUGCAUUUCUGCCCAAGUCCUUCCCUGGUUGAAAUUUAGACUAUAUUAUCUCUUCAGCACAAACAUAAUGGGUAGAAUAGAGGUGUCAAUAAAUGGAAGCAUAUGUCACUUCUGACUCAGAGUCAAGACCCAGAAUGGAACUGACCUUGUGAACCCAAAUACAAAGCGCAAACUCAAAACAUGGAAGCAGUUGAGAAGGAUCAAUGCUUUAUCAAAUGACUUUAUCAACAUUUUCCCUUCUCCUGUAGAUGUUCGCUGUUUCUUUGUGACAAUGAGAAAUCUGUAAGUGUAGAAAAAACUUGCCUGAGAGAAGUAGAGGUGCGUAAAACUAAAUAAGAAAAGUCUGGUUUUAACAAGGGGUCCUGAGGAAUAAGACAAAAAGCUAAUUUUUAUGGUAAGAUUAGUGCAGUACUAGAAAAACUGAUGUGGUAAUCUGCUUAAUGGUUGUGAUUUCC